rnacentral:rRNA from 1 species
AUUGAACGCUGGCGGCAUGCCUAACACAUGCAAGUCGAACGGUAACGCGGGGGCAACCCUGGCGACGAGUGGUGGACGGGUGAGUAAUACGUAGGAAUCUGCCCAUUUGUGGGGGAUAACCCGGCGAAAGCCGGGCUAAUACCGCAUACGCUCUACGGAGGAAAGCGGGGGAUCGCAAGACCUCGCGCUAAUGGAUGAGCCUACGUCGGAUUAGCUAGUUGGUAGGGUAAUGGCCUACCAAGGCGACGAUCCGUAGCUGGUCUGAGAGGACGAUCAGCCACACUGGGACUGAGACACGGCCCAGACUCCUACGGGAGGCAGCAGUGGGGAAUAUUGGACAAUGGGGGCAACCCUGAUCCAGCAAUGCCGCGUGUGUGAAGAAGGCCUGCGGGUUGUAAAGCACUUUCAGAGGGGAAGAAAAAGUCGAAGCUAACACCUUCGAUCUUGACGUUACCCUUAGAAGAAGCACCGGCUAACUCCGUGCCAGCAGCCGCGGUAAUACGGA